ACGUACACUCCUGCGGGAGGCAGCAGUGGGGAAUCUUGCGCAAUGGGCGAAAGCCUGACGCAGCCAUGCCGCGUGAAUGAUGAAGGUCUUAGGAUUGUAAAAUUCUUUCACCGGGGACGAUAAUGACGGUACCCGGAGAAGAAGCCCCGGCUAACUUCGUGCCAGCAGCCGCGGUAAUACGAAGGGGGCUAGCGUUGCUCGGAAUUACUGGGCGUAAAGGGAGCGUAGGCGGACAUUUAAGUCAGGGGUGAAAUCCCGGGGCUCAACCUCGGAAUUGCCUUUGAUACUGGGUGUCUUGAGUAUGAGAGAGGUGUGUGGAACUCCGAGUGUAGAGGUGAAAUUCGUAGAUAUUCGGAAGAACACCAGUGGCGAAGGCGACACACUGGCUCAUUACUGACGCUGAGGCUCGAAAGCGUGGGGAGCAAACAGGAUUAGAAACCCUAGUAGUCCCAUGA
rnacentral:rRNA from 1 species